rnacentral:rRNA from 1 species
AAUCAACGCUGGCGGCGUGCCUAAUACAUGCAAGUCGGACGCGAAGACCCCGCAAGGGGUUGGUAGCGUGGCAAACGGGUGAGUAACGCGUGGGCGACCUGCCUUCGAGUGGGGGAUAAC